rnacentral:rRNA from 1 species
AGAGUUUGAUCAUGGCUCAGAUUGAACGCUGGCGGCAUGCCUUACACAUGCAAGUCGAACGGUAACAGGUCUUCGGAUGCUGACGAGUGGCGAACGGGUGAGUAAUACAUCGGAACGUGCCCGAUCGUGGGGGAUAACGCAGCGAAAGCUGUGCUAAUACCGCAUACGAUCUACGGAUGAAAGCGGGGGAUCGCAAGACCUCGCGCGGACGGAGCGGCCGAUGGCAGAUUAGGUAGUUGGUGGGAUAAAAGCUUACCAAGCCGACGAUCUGUAGCUGGUCUGAGAGGACGACCAGCUACACUGGGACUGAGACACGGCCCAGACUCCUACGGGAGGCAGCAGUGGGGAAUUUUGGACAAUGGGCGCAAGCCUGAUCCAGCCAUGCCGCGUGCAGGAUGAAGGCCUUCGGGUUGUAAACUGCUUUUGUACGGAACGAAAAAGCUCUCUCUAAUACAGGGGGUGAAUGACGGUACCGUAAGAAUAAGCACCGGCUAACUACGUGCCAGCAGCCGCGGUAAUACGUAGGGUGCAAGCGUUAAUCGGAAUUACUGGGCGUAAAGCGUGCGCAGGCGGUUUUGUAAGACAGGCGUGAAAUCCCCGGGCUCAACCUGGGAACUGCGCUUGUGACUGCAAGGCUAGAGUACGGCAGAGGGGGGUGGAAUUCCACGUGUAGCAGUGAAAUGCGUAGAGAUGUGGAGGAACACCAAUGGCGAAGGCAGCCCCCUGGGUCGAUACUGACGCUCAUGCACGAAAGCGUGGGUAGCAAACAGGAUUAGAUACCCCGGUAGU